GUCUCAGCCAUGUGUAAUGAAGCAAGAAUGGGUCAGAUCAGAGGAACUCAUGGAUUCAUAAAUCUUUGCUGCACUGCAAUUAAAACACUAAAUUAUAUAAGUUGCCUUAGCUUGGUUUUCCCAGAAAGCAGAGCCUAAGGCUUAUGUGCUCUUAUGUUAUCAAGGAGUGUAAUACCCGGAGCACAUGUGAGGGACAAGAGGAGUGAGACAGAGAAUGAGAGAGAAGGGGAGACAGAGAGAGAGAGACAGAGAGAGAGAGAGAGAUAUUGGGAGAAAGAGAGAGCACGCCAUUGGAGUGACCAUCACUUAGUCUCAAUGGAGCCAUCUUCCAAGAGGCCAGAUAAACGACUACUUCUUCUGAUUGUCCAUUGCAGGAGGAUGGUCAAGAAUACAUCUGCUAUCUCCAUUCCCCUGGAUCAAAGUUUUUCUUCAUGGGACAUUAAUUCUCCAAGUACUUCCGGGUUGCACUCGUGUGGAUGCCAGAGGGUCUCAUGAUGUCUCACGCCUCUGUGACAACAGUGAAGCCAUGGGCAGGAGGUUAUCUUUGCUGAAGAAACGCAUUUCGGUGGUGAACACAGAGGUUGGAAAUAGCCAAGGAGCACAUGGUGAUAAAGAGAAGAUGUUGCAGCUUUUCCUUGCUGUCUCAUGGAGGAUGUGUGACAUGAAGAGCGUUAGAGAA